rnacentral:rRNA from 1 species
CCUACGGGUGGCAGCAGUGGGGAAUAUUGGACAAUGGGGGCAACCCUGAUCCAGCCAUGCCGCGUGUGUGAAGAAGGCCCUCGGGUUGUAAAGCACUUUCAGUGAGGAAGAACGCCUGGUGGUUAAUACCCAUCAGGAAAGACAUCACUCACAGAAGAAGCACCGGCUAACUCCGUGCCAGCAGCCGCGGUAAUACGGAGGGUGCGAGCGUUAAUCGGAAUUACUGGGCGUAAAGCGCGCGUAGGUGGCUUGAUAAGCCGGUUGUGAAAGCCCCGGGCUCAACCUGGGAACGGCAUCCGGAACUGUCAAGCUAGAGUGCAGGAGAGGAAGGUAGAAUUCCCGGUGUAGCGGUGAAAUGCGUAGAGAUCGGGAGGAAUACCAGUGGCGAAGGCGGCCUUCUGGACUGACACUGACACUGAGGUGCGAAAGCGUGGAUAGCAAACAGGAUUAGAUACCCGAGUAGUC